CCGACUCCAUGAAGCUGGAUUCGCUAGUAAUCGCGCAUCAGCCACGGCGCGGUGAAUACGUUCCCGGGCCUUGUACACACCGCCCGUCAAGCCAUGGAAGCCGGGGGGUGCCUGAAGUGCGCUGCCGCAAGGAGCGCCCUAGGGUAAAACCGGUGACUGGGGCUAAGUCGUAACAAGGUAAC
rnacentral:rRNA from 1 species